rnacentral:rRNA from 1 species
AAUAGAUACCCAGGUAGUCCAUGCCGUAAACGUUGGGAACUAGAUGUAGGGCCUGUUCCACGGGUUCUGUGUCGUAGCUAACGCAUUAAGUUCCCCGCCUGGGGAGUACGGCCGCAAGGCUAAAACUCAAAGGAAUUGACGGGGGCCCGCACAAGCGGCGGAGCAUGCGGAUUAAUUCGAUGCAACGCGAAGAACCUUACCAAGGCUUGACAUAUAGAAGAACACUGCAGAGAUGCAGGACUCUUUGGACACUUCUAUACAGGUGGUGCAUGGUUGUCGUCGGCUCGUGUCGUGAGAUGUUCGGUUAAGUCCGGCAACGAGCGCAACCCUCGUCCUAUGUUGCCAGCGGGUGAUGCCGGGAACUCAUGGGAUACUGCCGUGGUCAACACGGAGGAAGGUGGGGAUGACGUCAAAUCAUCAUGCCCCUUAUGUCUUGGGCUUCACGCAUGCUACAAUGGCCGGUACAAAGGGCGGCGAUACCGUAAGGUGGAGCGAAUCCCAAAAAGCCGGUCUCAGUUCGGAUUGGGGUCUGCUAACCG